rnacentral:rRNA from 1 species
GACGAACGCUGGCGGCGUGCUUAACACAUGCGAGUCGAACGGAAAGGCCCUGCUUUUGUGGGGUGCUCGUGUGGCGAACGGGUGAGUAACACGUGAGUAACCUGCCCUUGACUUUGGGAUAACUUCAGGAAACUGGGGCUAAUACCGGAUAGGAGCUCCUGCUGCAUGGUGGGGGUUGGAAAGUUUCGGCGGUUGGGGAUGGACUCGCGGCUUAUCAGCUUGUUGGUGGGGUAGUGGCUUACCAAGGCUUUGACGGGUAGCCGGCCUGAGAGGGUGACCGGCCACAUUGGGACUGAGAUACGGCCCAGACUCCUACGGGAGGCAGCAGUGGGGAAUAUUGCACAAUGGGCGGAAGCCUGAUGCAGCAACGCCGCGUGCGGGAUGACGGCCUUCGGGUUGUAAACCGCUUUCGCCUGUGACGAAGCGUGAGUGGCGGUAAUGGGUAAAGAAGCACCGGCUAACUACGUG